AGUGAUUGCAGAUAAACAUAACCUACACCUCCAAAUCCUUACAAGUCAAAAUUGCUAAAGUUUUUAGUGAGGAGAAACGAUAUAGUAAUUUCUUGUAUUGGAAGAAGCCAAAUAGGGAAUUGCCUAACCACAACUGAAAUGGUUGUGAUAGCAGUCAUGCAUUACAACCCACAGGCCACAGUCCCAGGCCCAGCUGUGAAAUGUCAGUCCUAAGUAGCACAUUCUUCCAGAUUGUGUGUUCCAUGUCUUACAUAAGAUCAUAGAACAAGAUUCAUGUGUAUUCAUGCUGUUUAAUAAAGGAAAAAGGGAAAGGAAAAAAAAAUGCAUUCCAGUUUUACAUUAGAGCUUAGUAUCCAAACACCUUAGCAUGAGUAUGCAUGUAAUUUAACAAUUCCCAAAAGAAAAUCCAUCCAAAAAAUAAAAGUUGCAAAAUUCAUAUUGUCUCCUCGAUGAAUAUGCUAAAAUUAGAAGUGUUUUACUUGAAACUCACUGUUAAACAGGUCAUACAGACAGUUAUUGGUAACAAUAAUAAAACUCAAAAUGGUCACAAGAACCAUUGAAGCUGGAAACAACACAGGCAUUUUAUGUGAUCGAAAAACUUCCUCUAAGUGAAGAGUUCUACAAGACCGUGAUUCAAUAAGCUAUAAUACAAGUCCAUGAAUGUUUGG
rnacentral:misc_RNA from 1 species